GAUGAACGCUGGCGGCGUGCUUAACACAUGCAAGUCGAGCGAAGCACCUUGAUUUCUUCGGAAAGAUUGGUGACUGAGCGGCGGACGGGUGAGUAACGCGUGGGUAACCUGCCUCACACAGGGGGAUAACAGUUAGAAAUGACUGCUAAUACCGCAUAAGACCACAGCACCGCAUGGUGCAGGGGUAAAAACUCCGGUGGUGUGAGAUGGACCCGCGUCUGAUUAGCUAGUUGGUGAGGUAACGGCUCACCAAGGCAACGAUCAGUAGCCGACCUGAGAGGGUGACCGGCCACAUUGGGACUGAGACACGGCCCAAACUCCUACGGGAGGCAGCAGUGGGGAAUAUUGCACAAUGGGCGAAAGCCUGAUGCAGCGACGCCGCGUGAAGGAUGAAGUAUUUCGGUAUGUAAACUUCUAUCAGCAGGGAAGAAAAUGACGGUACCUGACUAAGAAGCCCCGGCUAACUACGUGCCAGCCGCCGCAGUAAAAC
rnacentral:rRNA from 1 species